UACGAGGGGGGCAAAUGUUGUUCGGAAUCACUGGGCGUAAAGGGAGCGUAGGCGGGUUUUUAAGUUAGGUGUUUAAUCCCGGGGCCCAACCCCGGACCGGCACUUAAAACUGGGAAUCUUGAAUAGUGGAGAGGUCGGUGGAAUUGGGGGUGUAGCGGUGGAAUGCGUAGAGAUCCCCAAGAACACCAGUUGCGAAAGCAGCCAGCUGGGACCAUAUUGACGCUGAGGCUCGAAAGCAUGGGGAGCAAACAGG
rnacentral:rRNA from 1 species